UAAGGCGGCGGAGCUGCACCCGGUGCCGGAGGAGGAGCACGAGUGUCAUCCUGAUGCUGAUGAUGAGCAGAAGGAUGUUUGAUGAAUUUCCAGUUUACGGCGUGGUCCUCUUCAGUCAAGAUGGUGGAAUGGGACGCUGAGUUGCAUUUAAGAAAACAGUCUCCCUUGCGUAUAGAGAAUGCAGUCUGCUAUUGUAUUAAAAGUAGUUGUAGUCUUACUGUGAUGCAUGUUUAGAUGCUUAUCAUCUGUUUCUCGUGAAACUGGAUAAUUUGUGGGGGUCUCAUUGUACCAUCAGAAUUAUUUGCCCCUUCACGGUUACAGCUUAAAGGUCCUACUAAAAUUAGGAUGUCCAGUGAUGCCCUUUUAGAACUGGUGGUGGUUUAUGUAACUUUACUGUUUUCACCAUAAGAUGUUUUAUUGCGUCCAGUGUUGCCCCUCUGGUUUUGGUGGCUGUUUAUACAAUUUUAUGGUUACUGUAAGAGGCAAAUUUGUUGCUUUUAGUGUUC